rnacentral:lncRNA from 1 species
AGACCACCCAAACGUCCCACAACCUAUUGAAUCUCACAACAUAUGUUUGGAUAGCACUUCCCAGCCUACAACGCACUUUCUCAGGGAUUCUCAAACUUCCUCCCACCUCACAUCCUUUUAAGGCAAGCUCCUAAUACUACUACCUGUGUUACCUGCAGAAAAGAACAGAGAAAGAUCCAGUGCAAAAACUCAUAGGAAAUGAUCAAUUCAUGCCAAGUGAUGAGAACUAGAGAAGAGAGAUGAGAGCAUUGUUCAUACACGAUGGUCUAGGUCUCCUACCCCAAGAGAACUUGCAACAAAGCCCAAAGUACAACAGCCACGUUUAAAGAGAA